AUGGAUGAGUACUGUGAUGCAAUUCAAUACGAGGUUCUUGUGUUUUCUUCCACCACUCGUGGCACUGUUUUUGCAUGGAAUCCUCAUGAUUUCGGUCCUGUGAACAUUCCACCACCUAUACUUGCAAAUUUUAUUCAUGAGCAUGAGGACGAGCAGGACCCAUAUACUCAAUGGCGCCUGGCAACUUAUUCCGAUGGAUCACCUCUUCUUGUCUGUAUACGGGCACUGCUAAUGUUACUAAGGAAGCAGGUGUUUUCUCGUAUGGUCGCACUCUCCGGACCUAUUCCAACAUCUGUUGCAGGGUAUUUGGGAUGGAUACUAGUGUACUAG
rnacentral:rRNA from 1 species